GGGCAGCAAGGCUGGGAAUGGCAGAUUGUUAGCAGUGAGCUGGGGCCAGCCUCCCUGCCCCGUGAGCACAUUCCUACUCCAGUGCGACAGUGCAGCCACUCCAGCCUCCAGUCCCUAAGCGAUAAUCCUGGAGCCAGAGCCAGCGCUGCUGCCAGCCUGGAGGGUGAGAAGGAGCAGAUGCCAGCUGUGACCUGGAGGGAAGGGGGACUUAGGAAUGUGGGUUGUUAGACGUGGACUCUGAAAAUGGCCAUCUCCUUCAGAAACAGGAGCGCGUUUCCACUGCAGCAUCUCCAGGGUUUCUUGUCUCCUCGGUCACCGCCAAGUGCAUGUUGCUCAUCAAGGGAUUCCAUCUUAACCGACAACUCAAUCGGCCCAAAUUACAUGAUGUAUGCAAAUUUCCAUCAGCAAAUCAGCGCGGCUGAUCAUCACUCUCAUCAGGGGGCUGCCCUGGUCUCAGGCUCCUGGGGCCCACCCUCUGUUCACCCUCUGCUGACCAAGGGAGGGGCCCCCUGGGGACCAGGAAGUAGCAGGGAGGGCUGGGCAUUGCCUACCACAGAGUAGAACUGCACCCAGGCAGAGGCUGGGGGAUGAGCCAGGCUCUAAAUGCAAGUUGGGUUCCCACCACCAAUUUCCAACGAGAGCAAACUGAGAAAGGAGCUACCAGCCUCUAACUUUAAGCCCAGGGUCUGGUGACACCUCACAAUGGCACUGUCUAUCAGGGAGGCAGUCCCGUACAGCAGAUAAGAGCUCGGACUCUGGAGCCAGACUGCCUGCGUUCAAAUCCCAGGGCUGCCACUCAUCUGCUGUGUGACCUUGGGCAAUUUGCCUAA
rnacentral:lncRNA from 1 species